CUUGGAGCAAAUGAGCAGUGGUGGAAAGGAGGAGUAGAGGGCCGAUACGUGAAAGUGAAAGGGAAAAGAGAAAAUUUUUUGACGUCUUGUUCGUUGAAAGGCUAAGAUAGGUCGCGGUUGGGUAAAGAAGAAUAGUUGAAAUCGCUAUGAAUCACGUCAUCAAGGAUGAAGAAGAAAGUGAGGAACCGCUAACAAACUUACCCUUGGAAGUUUA